AUGAACGCUGGCGGCGUGCCUAAUACAUGCAAGUCGAGCGAACAGACGAGGAGCCUGCUCCUCUGACGUUAGCGGCGGACGGGUGAGUAACACGUGGAUAACCUACCUAUAAGACUGGGUUAACUUCGGGAAACCGGAGCUAAUACCGGAUAAUAUAUUGAACCGCAUGGUUCCAUAGUGAAAGACGGUUUUGCUGUCACUUAUAGAUGGAUCCGCGCCGCAUUAGCUAGUUGGUAAGGUAACGGCUUACCAAGGCGACGAUGCGUAGCCGACCUGAGAGGGUGAUCGGCCACACUGGAACUGAGACACGGUCCAGACUCCUACGGGAGGCAGCAGUAGGGAAUCUUCCGCAAUGGGCGAAAGCCUGACGGAGCAACGCCGCGUGAGUGAUGAAGGUCUUCGGAUCGUAAAACUCUGUUAUUAGGGAAGAACAAAUGUGUAAGUAACUAUGCACGUCUUGACGGUACCUAAUCAGAAAGCCACGGCUAACUACGUG
rnacentral:rRNA from 1 species